CUAAAAGACACCAUCACCUCGGCAAGAGCACAGCAUGUAGGCCUUGUUCGUCCCAGUCUCUCUAGAGCUUCUCCCAAGAGGAUGACCACCUGCAUAGUGAAUGUCCAAUGUCCGUUUUGUGGCAAAUGUUUCCUUGGGAGAGAGAAGAUGUGUGAUAUGACAGCCUUCAGCCAUGCCUGAGCACACAAGCCAUCUACUCCACAACGGAGCAGCAACCGUCAGCUCAGUUAAACCUGGUUUGACGGACCCUCGUCUGAUACAAAGAAACCUCCAACAACAAGGUAAAGAAACUCCAGGGUCACAAAUCAAUCACUAGGAAGAAGAGGAAUAAAGACACAUUAGAGGAAGGAGGACAGUUGCUCACACUCUGUGACUGAAACAAUAAGCCCUAUUUAUUACCCAUCUGAGAAAGGUUUGAUAUGUCAUCCAAACAGUAGGCUUUCAUCUUCCGCCAUAUUAAACUGUCACAGUGCUUAACUUUAAAUGAAGGUGACACAUCAGUGACUUGGUUGUCACUAAUAGAGCUUUGGACG